rnacentral:tRNA from 1 species
UCCCUAGUGGCUCAGAUGGUAAAGCGUCUGUCUACAAUGCAGGAAACCUUGGUUCGAUCCCUGGGUCGGGAA